GGCGCGGUAGCCAAGUGGUAAGGCGAAGGUCUGCAAAACCUUUAUUCACCGGUUCGAAUCCGGUCCGCGCCUCCA
rnacentral:tRNA from 1 species